ACGGAUGUUUUCGGACAUUAGUGGCGGACGGGUGAGUAACGCGUGAGAAUCUAGCUUCAGGUUGGGGACAACAGUUGGAAACGACUGCUAAUACCGAAUGUGCCGAGAGGUGAAAGAUUAACUGCCUGAAGAAGAGCUCGCGUCUGAUUAGCUAGUUGGUGGGGUAAGAGCUUACCAAGGCGACGAUCGGUAGCUGGUCUGAGAGGACGAUCAGCCACACUGGGACUGAGACACGGCCCAGACUCCUACGGGAGGCAGCAGUGGGGAAUUUUCCGCAAUGGGCGAAAGCCUGACGGAGCAAUACCGCGUGAGGGAAGAAGGCUCUUGGGUUGUAAACCUCUUUUCUGAGGGAAGAAAAAAAUGACGGUACCUCAGGAAUCAGCAUCGGCUAACUCCGUGCCAGCAGCCGCGGUAAUACGGAGGAUGGAAGCGUUAUCCGGAAUGAUUGGGCGUAAAGCGUCCGCAGGUGGCAAUUCAAGUUUGCGGUUAAAGGUUCUGGCUCAACCAGAGACAAGCCGUGAAAACUGAAUAGCUAGAGUAUGGUAGGGGCAGAGGGAAUUCCCAGUGUAGCGGUGAAAUGCGUAGAGAUUGGGAAGAACACCGGUGGCGAAAGCGCUCUGCUAGGCCAAAACUGACACUGAGGGACGAAAGCUAGGGGAGCGAAUGGGAUUAGAUACCCCAGUAGUCCUAGCCGUAAACGAUGGAUACUAGGUGUAGCUUGUAUCGACCCAAGCUGUGCCGUAGCUAACGCGUUAAGUAUCCCGCCUGGGGAGUACGCGCGCAAGCGUGAAACUCAAGGAA
rnacentral:rRNA from 1 species